UGCCGCGUGCAGGAUGAAGGCCUUCGGGUUGUAAACUGCUUUUGUACGGAACGAAAAGACUCCUUCUAAUAAAGGGGGUCCAUGACGGUACCGUAAGAAUAAGCACCGGCUAACUACGUGCCAGCAGCCGCGGUAAUACGUAGGGUGCGAGCGUUAAUCGGAAUUACUGGGCGUAAAGCGUGCGCAGGCGGUUAUGUAAGACAGAUGUGAAAUCCCCGGGCUCAACCUGGGAACUGCAUUUGUGACUGCAUAGCUAGAGUACGGUAGAGGGGGAUGGAAUUCCGCGUGUAGCAGUGAAAUGCGUAGAUAUGCGGAGGAACACCGAUGGCGAAGGCAAUCCCCUGGACCUGUACUGACGCUCAUGCACGAAAGCGUGGGGAGCAAACAGGAUUAGAUACCCUGGUAGUCCACGCCCUAAACGAUGUCAACUGGUUGUUGGGUCUUCACUGACUCAGUAACGAAGCUAA
rnacentral:rRNA from 1 species